rnacentral:rRNA from 1 species
CCUACGGGAGGCAGCAGUAAGGAAUAUUGGUCAAUGGAGGCAACUCUGAACCAGCCAUGCCGCGUGCAGGAAGACGCCCUCUGGGUCGUAAACUGCUUUUAUUCGGGAAUAUGUACCGAAGGAAUAAGGAUCGGCUAACUCCGUGCCAGCAGCCGCGGUAAUACGGAGGAUCCAAGCGUUAUCCGGAUUUAUUGGGUUUAAAGGGUGCGUAGGCGGCUUAUUAAGUCAGGGGUGAAAGACGGUGGCUCAACCAUCGCAGUGCCUUUGAUACUGAUGAGCUUGAAUACACUAGAGGUAGGCGGAAUGUGACAAGUAGCGGUGAAAUGCAUAGAUAUGUCACAGAACACCGAUUGCGAAGGCAGCUUACUAUGGUGUAUUGACGCUGAGGCACGAAAGCGUGGGGAUCAAACAGGAUUAGAUACCCUUGUAGUC